ensembl:snRNA U6 U6 spliceosomal RNA
GUGCUUACUUCAGCAGCACAUAUACUAUUAAAAUUGUAAUGAUACAGAGAUUAGCAUGCCCCCUGCGGAAGGAUAUCAUGCGGCUUCAUGAAGCAUUCCAUAUUUUU